rnacentral:misc_RNA from 1 species
GAUGAAGAACGUAGCGAAAUGCGAUACGUAAUGUGAAUUGCAGAAUUCAGUGAAUCAUCGAAUCUUUGAACGCAUAUUGCGCUCUUUGGUAUUCCGAAGAGCAUGCUUGUUUGAGUAUCAGUAAACACCUCAAAAGAUUUUCAUUUUUGAAAUGAUUUUGGACUUGAGCAAUCCCAACACCAGUCUUCACGGAUCGGCGGAGGGUUGCUUGAAAUGCAGGUGCAGCUGGACAUUCUCCUGAGCUAAAAGCAUAUCUAUUUAGUCCCGUCAAACGGAUUAUUACUUUUGCUGCAGCUAACAUAAAGGGAGUUUGACCAUUUUGGCUGACUGAUGCAGGAUUUCACAAGGGUCGGUAAAACGAUUUUUGUAAAACUCGAUCUCAAAUCAAGUAAGACUACCCGCUGAACUUAAGCAUAUCAAUAAGCGGAGGA